AUUGAACGCUGGCGGAAUGCUUUACACAUGCAAGUCGAACGGUAGAGGGGGCAACCCCUCGAGAGUGGCGAACGGGUGAGUAAUAUAUCGGAACGUGCCCAGUCGUGGGGGAUAACGUAGCGAAAGUUACGCUAAUACCGCAUACGAUCUAAGGAUGAAAGCGGGGGAUCGCAAGACCUCGCGCGAUUGGAGCGGCCGAUAUCAGAUUAGGUAGUUGGUGGGGUAAAGGCCCACCAAGCCAACGAUCUGUAGCUGGUCUGAGAGGACGACCAGCCACACUGUAACUGAGACACGGUCCAGACACCUACGGGAGGCAGCAGUGGGAAAUUUUGGACAAUGGGCGAAAGCCUGAUCCAGGCAUUCCGCGUUCAGGAUGAAGGGCCUCGGGUUGUAAACUGCUUUUGUACAGAACGAAAAGGUUUCUACUAAUACUAGGAGCUCAUGACGGUACUGUAAGAAUAAGCACCGGCUAACUACGUGCCAGCAGCCGCGGUAA
rnacentral:rRNA from 1 species